GAUGAACGCUGGCGGCGUGCCUAAUACAUGCAAGUCGAGCGAACGGACGAGAAGCUUGCUUCUCUGAUGUUAGCGGCGGACGGGUGAGUAACACGUGGAUAACCUACCUAUAAGACUGGGAUAACUUCGGGAAACCGGAGCUAAUACCGGAUAAUAUUUUGAACCGCAUGGUUCAAAAGUGAAAGACGGUCUUGCUGUCACUUAUAGAUGGAUCCGCGCUGCAUUAGCUAGUUGGUAAGGUAACGGCUUACCAAGGCAACGAUGCAUAGCCGACCUGAGAGGGUGAUCGGCCACACUGGAACUGAGACACGGUCCAGACUCCUACGGGAGGCAGCAGUAGGGAAUCUUCCGCAAUGGGCGAAAGCCUGACGGAGCAACGCCGCGUGAGUGAUGAAGGUCUUAGGAUCGUAAAACUCUGUUAUUAGGGAAGAACAUAUGUGUAAGUAACUGUGCACAUCUUGACGGUACCUAAUCAAAAAGCCACGGCUAACUACGUG
rnacentral:rRNA from 1 species